rnacentral:rRNA from 1 species
GUGGGUAGUUUGACUGGGGCGGUCUCCUCCCAAAGAGUAACGGAGGAGCACGAAGGUUAGCUAAUCCUGGUCGGACAUCAGGAGGUUAGUGCAAUGGCAUAAGCUAGCUUGACUGCGAGAGUGACGGCUCGAGCAGGUGCGAAAGCAGGUCAUAGUGAUCCGGUGGUUCUGAAUGGAAGGGCCAUCGCUCAACGGAUAAAAGGUACUCCGGGGAUAACAGGCUGAUACCGCCCAAGAGUUCAUAUCGACGGCGGUGUUUGGCACCUCGAUGUCGGCUCAUCACAUCCUGGGGCUGAAGUAGGUCCCAAGGGUAUGGCUGUUCGCCAUUUAAAGUGGUACGCGAGCUGGGUUUAGAACGUCGUGAGACAGUUCGGUCCCUAUCUGCCGUGGGCGCUGGAGAAUUGAGGGGGGCUGCUCCUAGUACGAGAGGACCGGAGUGGACGCAUCACUGGUGUUCGGGUUGUCAUGCCAAUGGCACUGCCCGGUAGCUAAAUGCGGAAGAGAUAAGUGCUGAAAGCAUCUAAGCACGAAACUUGCCCCGAGAUGAGUUCUCCCUGAGACUUAAAGUCUCCUGAAGGAACGUUGAAGACGACGACGUUGAUAGGUCGGGUGUGUAAGCGCAGCGAUGCGUUGAGCUAACCGAUACUAAUGAACCGUGAGG